CAACCCCCUCCUCCCGCCCCGCCAGCUGAGCCUGCCUGGCCUGGCGCUGCCUUCCCUACCUGGGGCGGGGGGCUGCGCGCCCCGGCGGGCAGGGGCCUCCCGCCCGGCACCUGGGCUGCGGGGCGGCUCUGCGCGCCCUUCUCUCCGGCGCCUCCGCCGCGCUGGUGGCGGCUCCCAGCGGUAAAUCAGCCGGUCCCCUCGGCUCCCUCCGCCCCUCCGGCGCGGUCCUGACCUGCCUGUGACUCACCACAUCGCAGGAGCCCGGGAGCUAGUAACAUUGCUGUGUAACAUGCAAAGAGAAGAUAUGUUUAACAUCCCAGCAAGAGCUUAGCUGUCUCUCAUGAUAACAUACUGAAGAACAUCUCAAACACCUGCUAUCUUAAUCUUCCCCUAAAACCACUGCUGAGAAGUGCUAUUAGCUUCAUUUUCCUGAUGAGGGACUGAGGAACAGAGAAAACCACCAUCUUGUCUAAGUGUAAAGCACAGAUACCUCUUUCGUGGAUGGGAAGCAGACUCUGUGACUUCUGCAGGGAUUCAGAACUGGUUCUGCCUCUCCUGAUGCCCCUGCCCUGUCUCAGAGCUGAGCAUCACUACUCUGGACACUUAGGGGAUAUGAUCUCAUCUGAAUUCAGCAACCUUCACAAGCCUCCGUAGGCGCCCCAGCACUAAACACCCAGGAACAUGACAGAUGCCUCACAGGAAGCUGGCUCCUCAUCUUUGCACAAUAGUUUCUGCCUUUUCUUAGGGUAAUAAUUUUUCAUUGUCAGGUUUUGGAGACACAGGAGAUGUUUCAAUUACUUCCCCAAAUUUUUCAAACCCGAGGUGAUAAAUAUCACAAUGUCAUUUAGAUAUUUUAAUAGAAAAUUAAUAUUUCAGGGUGUGAUACUAAGAAAACUAUGACACUGCCACCUCGUGGAUUCUGAGAUAAUAUCUAAAUCAUAUUUUGCCAUCAUUAUUUACAUAGUGACAUAAACAUGCGUCGUACUUCUUGGCCAAAUAAUAGUUCCUUUCUUACCCACAGAGUUUAGCAUAGCAUCUAGAUUAUUCUAAAUAUUUAGGCUUCUAAUGAUAUAGAUCAACAUCUUACUAUGAUUUAUGUAAGCAACUAUGUAAGUGAAAUUCCUGACACUUCCUUUCUGCUUGAAAGUUAGAAGGCAUUUUCUCACAUAAGCUGUGCUUUUAAAGCAAUAGUAGUUUAAACUUGCCACUUUCUCAGUUCUUCUGUACCAUCUGCAAAAGCGAGUGAUAAUACUGAGAUGUAGUGAUUCUUGCUAAUUGUGCCUCAGAUUACAUUCUUCUAAAAAUUGUUGAAGGCUGUUAAUUGAAGGAUUCAGAGACUUCUCCAUGUGGAAUUGCUUAUUGUGAUCUAAACUGAAUUUAAUAAUUCACCUCUGAAGAAGUCUGGGGUAUAUGUGCAUCAGAGGAAUCCUUUACCUCUGGUAUUCUGGUGUAUAACUAACAUGGACUGAGAAGAGCUCUGUUCUAUUGGACCAAAUGAAUCAAGAAAAAGGGAAAAAAACCAAAGCAAUCUCUUUUUCUGAAGGAUCAGAACCGUUCCCUUCAGCGUUCAUCAGUGACUGCCUAAUGAAUCAAGGCAUGAGGAAAAAAAAAAGACAUAUUAUGGCAACUUCAUUGCUGUCCAUGCUUUUUAUCAAGAACUGCACCAUGACACCCAAGUCCCACACAUGUGGGAGCCAAUAUCUGAAGCAGAUCCUCAUGUAAAACACUGGUGCAGCUUGAUGUGCAGCAUGAUUCCAUUCUGGGACCAAACUGUUGGCAGCUGUAAUAAACCUGGGAUAUCAAUAUUUGUAUCAAGACAGACCAUCCCUGUAGGGGAAUGAAAAAUAGGAAUUCUGCAUAUUUACAAGUCAGCUAUGAAGACAUUUGUGAGAGAAAAGCUGUUGUGCUGUACAAAGACGUAACAAAAGGUAGGGGAAGGGCGUUAGACCAUGUACAUAAACAAUGCCUGAAGACUGCUUUAGUACAAGAAUGGAAAAACAGAAACAACAUCACUUGCAUGAACUCCAUUAUGGUUCAUAUUUAAGGCUAGACAGUGAUUCAUACUGUUUCACUAGACUCAGCAUGCUGCAAAAGGCACUUGAAAUAAUUAACACUUAGAAUUAAACUGCUCAGAUUUCACAUCAUCAAACAUUAAACUUUCUGUAAUUCCCUCUGCA